AAUCAACGCUGGCGGCGUGCCUAACACAUGCAAGUCGAACGAGAAAGUGGAGCAAUCCAUGAGUACAGUGGCGAACGGGUGAGUAACACGUGACUAACCUACCUUCCAGUGGGGGAUAACCUCGGGAAACCGGGGCUAAGACCGCCUAACCUCGUGAGGUGAGAUUCCUUGCGAGCAAAGGGGUAAGACGCUGGAUGAGGGGGUCGCGGCCGAUUAGCCAGGUGGCGGGGGACCGGCCCACCAAGGCGAUGAUCGGUAGACUGCAUGAGAGGGCGGACGGACACACUGGAACUGAAACACGGGCCAGACUCCUACGGAAGGCAGCAGUGGGGAAUUUUGCACAAUGGGGGAAACCCUGAUGCAGCAACGCCGGGUGGAGGAUGAAGUCUCUUGGGACGUAAACUCCUUUCGACCGGGACGAGAAUGACGGUACCGGUGGAAGAAGCCCCGGCUAACUCCGUGCCAGCCGCCGCCGUAA
rnacentral:rRNA from 1 species